AAAAUGCACAUAUUGUGAGCUCGAUGAGUAGGGCGGGACACGUGGUAUCCUGUCUGAAUAUGGGGGGCCCAUCCUCCAAGGCUAAAUACUCCUGACUGACCGAUAGUGAACCAGUACCGUGAGGGAAAGGCGAAAAGAACCCCGGCGAGGGGAGUGAAAAAGAACCUGAAACCGUGUACGUACAAGCAGUGGGAGCACGCUUAGGCGUGUGACUGCGUACCUUUUGUAUAAUGGGUCAGCGACUUAUAUUCUGUAGCAAGGUUAACCGAAUAGGGGAGCCGAAGGGAAACCGAGUCUUAACUGGGCGUUAAGUUGCAGGGUAUAGACCCGAAACCCGGUGAUCUAGCCAUGGGCAGGUUGAAGGUUGGGUAACACUAACUGGAGGACCGAACCGACUAAUGUUGAAAAAUUAGCGGAUGACUUGUGGCUGGGGGUGAAAGGCCAAUCAAACCGGGAGAUAGCUGGUUCUCCCCGAAAGCUAUUUAGGUAGCGCCUCGUGAAUUCAUCUCCGGGGGUAGAGCACUGUUUCGGCAAGGGGGUCAUCCCGACUUACCAACCCGAUGCAAACUGCGAAUACCGGAGAAUGUUAUCACGGGAGACACACGGCGGGUGCUAACGUCCGUCGUGAAGAGGGAAACAACCCAGACCGCCAGCUAAGGUCCCAAAGUCAUGGUUAAGUGGGAAACGAUGUGGGAAGGCCCAGACAGCCAGGAUGUUGGCUUAGAAGCAGCCAUCAUUUAAAGAAAGCGUAAUAGCUCACUGGUCGAGUCGGCCUGCGCGGAAGAUGUAACGGGGCUAAACCAUGCACCGAAGCUGCGGCAGCGACGCUUAUGCGUUGUUGGGUAGGGGAGCGUUCUGUAAGCCUGCGAAGGUGUGCUGUGAGGCAUGCUGGAGGUAUCAGAAGUGCGAAUGCUGACAUAAGUAACGAUAAAGCGGGUGAAAAGCCCGCUCGCCGGAAGACCAAGGGUUCCUGUCCAACGUUAAUCGGGGCAGGGUGAGUCGACCCCUAAGGCGAGGCCGAAAGGCGUAGUCGAUGGGAAACAGGUUAAUAUUCCUGUACUUGGUGUUACUGCGAAGGGGGGACGGAGAAGGCUAUGUUGGCCGGGCGACGGUUGUCCCGGUUUAAGCGUGUAGGCUGGUUUUCCAGGCAAAUCCGGAAAAUCAAGGCUGAGGCGUGAUGACGAGGCACUACGGUGCUGAAGCAACAAAUGCCCUGCUUCCAGGAAAAGCCUCUAAGCAUCAGGUAACAUCAAAUCGUACCCCAAACCGACACAGGUGGUCAGGUAGAGAAUACCAAGGCGCUUGAGAGAACUCGGGUGAAGGAACUAGGCAAAAUGGUGCCGUAACUUCGGGAGAAGGCACGCUGAUAUGUAGGUGAAGUCCCUUGCGGAUGGAGCUGAAAUCAGUCGAAGAUACCAGCUGGCUGCAACUGUUUAUUAAAAACACAGCACUGUGCAAACACGAAAGUGGACGUAUACGGUGUGACGCCUGCCCGGUGCCGGAAGGUUAAUUGAUGGGGUCAGCGCAAGCGAAGCUCUUGAUCGAAGCCCCGGUAAACGGCGGCCGUAACUAUAACGGUCCUAAGGUAGCGAAAUUCCUUGUCGGGUAAGUUCCGACCUGCACGAAUGGCGUAAUGAUGGCCAGGCUGUCUCCACCCGAGACUCAGUGAAAUUGAACUCGCUGUGAAGAUGCAGUGUACCCGCGGCAAGACGGAAAGACCCCGUGAACCUUUACUAUAGCUUGACACUGAACAUUGAGCCUUGAUGUGUAGGAUAGGUGGGAGGCUUUGAAGUG
rnacentral:rRNA from 1 species